GCCCACAAUACUCAUAUAUAUAUAUAUAUAUAUAUAUAUAUAUAUAUAUAUAUAUAUAUAUAUAUAUGGGGGGGGG
rnacentral:miRNA from 1 species